rnacentral:misc_RNA from 1 species
UGUGGGAGCGAGCCUGCUCGCGAUAGCGGAAUGUCUGUCACGCAGAUGUUGAACAGACCGCCGCCAUCGCGAGCAGGCUCGCUCCCACA